rnacentral:sRNA from 1 species
GCAAAAGUAAUGACCUUUUGCAUUAGUGUAAUUGUACAAGAAAGCAAUAAACUGCUAUACUAUAUUUCAUUAUAUAUGUUUAGUUUUUUCGUCUUGUAGUUUUUAUGAUUUUUAUUGACAAAAUUAAAUUUAUGGAUUAUUAAAUGGAUAUUUACCAUUGUUACCAAUUUACAUAUUAUAGUUAUUCAUGAAUGAUUUAUUUAUAGAAAUUCAUGUAUUUAUGUUAUUAUCAUUGGAUAUGAAAAGUUGAAAUUUUUUUGAGCCUUUAAAUAAUUGAAUGGAGUCGUAUUGUAUAUCUAUUAGAUCUGCAUAGUCAAGAUCUGUGCCAUCUUAGUCAUUAUGUACCUCAUAAUCAUGAUUUUGUUUGAACUGAGUUUUUUUUUUUAUAAAAAUUAAAGUAUACCGACAAAAAGUUG